rnacentral:rRNA from 1 species
UAAACAAGGAUUAGAUACCCUUCUAUUUCAGAGGAGUAUUUUAAGGUAGUAGUUGUUAUCAUCUUGAAACCUAAAAGAUUUGGCGGUUCUUAAUUACAUCAGAGGAACCUGCCCUGUCAACGAUAAUCCUCGUUAUAUCUUACCUACCUGCGGUUUGUACACCGUCGUCUAAGAUAUUUUUAAAAGAAUUUACUAAAAAUAUUGAUAAAUAAGACAGACCUAGGCGCAGCUUAGAUAGGGUGAGGUGGGUUACAAUUAACCUUUAUUAGAGAGUUUCUAUAAUAAAAGCUUAACAUCGGAUUUGAAAGUAACGCGGGUUUAAUA